rnacentral:ncRNA from 1 species
CAGGGGUGCUUUAUGCUGAGAUGUUGAAAAACGAUCCCUUAUGACCUGAUCUAGUUAAUACUAGCGUAGGGAGUCUUAUCUU